UAAGGAAUAUUGGUCAAUGGACGCAAGUCUGAACCAGCCAUGCCGCGUGAAGGAUGAAGGUCCUCUGGAUUGUAAACUUCUCUUAUCUGGGACGAAAACGGGAUUUUUAUCUCAAUUGACGGUACCAGAGGAAUAAGCACCGGCUAACUCCGUGCCAGCAGCCGCGGUAAUACGGAGGGUGCGAGCGUUAUCCGGAUUUACUGGGUUUAAAGGGUGCGUAGGUGGGCUUAUAAGUCAGUGGUGAAAUCUCCGAGCUUAACUUGGAAACUGCCGUUGAUACUAUAGGUCUUGAAUUAUCUGGAGGUAAGCGGAAUAUGUCAUGUAGCAGUGAAAUGCUUAGAUAUGACAUAGAACACCAAUUGCGAAGGCAGCUUACUACAUAUAAAUUGACGCUGAGGCACGAAAGCGUGGGGAUCAAACC
rnacentral:rRNA from 1 species